rnacentral:rRNA from 1 species
UACGGGGGGGGCAAGCGUUGUUCGGAAUUACUGGGCGUAAAGGGCUCGUAGGCGGCCAACUAAGUCGGAUGUGAAAUCCCCAGGCUUAACCUGGGAACUGCAUCCGAUACUGGAUGGCUUGAAUCCGGGAGAGGGAUGCAGAAUUCCAGGUGUAGCGGUGAAAUGCGUAGAUAUCAGGAGGAACACCGGUGGCGAAGGCGGAUCUCUGGGCCAUUACUGACGCUGAGGAGCGAAAGCGUGGGGAGCGAACAGG